rnacentral:rRNA from 1 species
CGCGGCCUAUCAGCUUGUUGGUGGGGUAGUGGCUUACCAAGGCUUUGACGGGUAGCCGGCCUGAGAGGGUGACCGGCCACAUUGGGACUGAGAUGCGGCCCAGACUCCUACGGGAGGCAGCAGUGGGGAAUAUUGCACAAUGGGCGGAAGCCUGAUGCAGCAACGCCGCGUGCGGGAUGACGGCCUUCGGGUUGUAAACCGCUUUCGCCUGUGACGAAGCGUGAGUGACGGUAAUGGGUAAAGAAGCACCGGCUAACUACGUGCCAGCAACCGCGGUGAUACGUAGGGUGCGAGCGUUGUCCGGAUUUAUUGGGCGUAAAGGGCUCGUAGGUGGUUGAUCGCGUCGGAAGUGUAAUCUUGGGGCUUAACCCUGAGCGUGCUUUCGAUACGGGUUGACUUGAGGAAGGUAGGGGAGAAUGGAAUUCCUGGUGGAGCGGUGGAAUGUGCAGAUAUCAGGAGGAACACCAGUGGCGAAGGCGGUUCUCUGGGCCUUUCCUGACGCUGAGGAGCGAAAGCGUGGGGAGCGAACAGGCUUAGAUACCCUGGUAGUCCACGCUGUAAACGGUGGGUACUAGGUGUGGGGUCCAUUCCACGGGUUCCGUGCCGUAGCUAACGCUUUAAGUACCCCGCCUGGGGAGUACGG